GCCUCUCUCUCAGUCGGUUAGAGCACUGUGCUGAUAACGCCAAGGCUACAGGUUCGAUCCCCGUACGGGACA